UCGAGCGAGCAUAUUAGCAGAAGUUUUCGGAUGGAAGCGGAUAUGACUUAGCGGCGGACGGGUGAGUAACGCGUGGAUAACCUGCCUCAUACAGGGGGAUAACAGUUAGAAAUGACUGCUAAUACCGCAUAAGCGCACAGGACCGCAUGGUCCGGUGUGAAAAACUCCGGUGGUAUGGGAUGGAUCCGCGUCUGAUUAGCUGGUUGGUGAGGUAACGGCCCACCAAGGCGACGAUCAGUAGCCGACCUGAGAGGGUGGCCGGCCACAUUGGGACUGAGACACGGCCCAAACUCCUACGGGAGGCAGCAGUGGGGAAUAUUGCACAAUGGGGGAAACCCUGAUGCAGCAACGCCGCGUGAGUGAAGAAGUAUUUCGGUAUGUAAAGCUCUAUCAGCAGGGAAGAAGAAAGACGGUACCUGACUAAGAAGCCCCGGCUAACUACGUGCCAGCAGCCGCGGUAAUACGUAGGGGGCAAGCGUUAUCCGGAUUUACUGGGUGUAAAGGGAGCGUAGACGGCUGUGCAAGUCUGAAGUGAAAGCCCGUGGCUCAACCGCGGAACUGCUUUGGAAACUGUAUAGCUUGAGUACUGGAGAGGCAGGCGGAAUUCCUAGUGUAGCGGUGAAAUGCGUAGAUAUUAGGAGGAACACCAGUGGCGAAGGCGGCCUGCUGGACAGAAACUGACGUUGAGGCUCGAAAGCGUGGGGAGCAAACAGGAUUAGAUACCCUGGUAGUCCACGCGGUAAACGAUGAAUGCUANGUGUUGGGGAGCAAAGCUCUUCNGUGCCGUCGCAAGCG
rnacentral:rRNA from 1 species